rnacentral:misc_RNA from 1 species
GAUGAAGAACGCAGCGAAAUGCGAUACGUAAUGUGAAUUGCAGAAUUCAGUGAAUCAUCGGAUCUUUGAACGCAUAUUGCGCUCUCUGGUAUUCCGGAGAGCAUGCUUGUUUGAGUAUCAGUAAACACCUCAACUUCCAUAUCUUUUUUGAAAUGGGAGUUGGACUUGAGUGAUCCCAACGCUUUUCCUCACCGAAAAGUGGCGGGUUACUUGAAAUGCAGGUGCAGCUGGACUUUUCUCUGAGCUAUAAGCAUAUCUAUUUAGUCUGCCUAAAAAACAGAUUAUUACCUUUGCUGCAGCUAACAUAAAGGAGAUUAGUUCUUGUGCUGACUGAUGCAGGAUUCACAAAGACAGGCUUCGGCCGACUUUGUAAACUCGAUCUCAAAUCAAGUAAGACUACCCGCUGAACUUAAGCAUAUCAAUAAGCGGAGGA